GAUGAAGAACGUAGCGAAAUGCGAUACGUAAUGUGAAUUGCAGAAUUCAGUGAAUCAUCGAGUCUUUGAACGCACAUUGCGCCCCCUGGUAUUCCGGGGGGCAUGCCUGUCCGAGCGUCAUUGCUGCCCUCAAGCCCGGCUUGUGUGUUGGGUCUCGUCCCCCUUCCCGGGGGGCCGGGCCCGAAAGGCAGCGGCGGCACCGCGUCCGGUCCUCGAGCGUAUGGGGCUUUGUCACCCGCUCUGUAGGCCCGGCCGGCGCUUGCCGAUCAACCAAAACUUUUUUCCAGGUUGACCUCGGAUCAGGUAGGGAUACCCGCUGAACUUAAGCAUAUCAAUAAGCGGAGGA
rnacentral:misc_RNA from 1 species